CCUCUUCAUCAUCUGCUCCUCCCUCCUCUUCCUCCUCUCCGUCGGGGCUGCUGCUGUCGCUCCGAGGAGGAAGAGGAGGAAGAGGAGGCUGAGGCAGGAGGAGCAGGAGGAGAACAGGGAAAGGAAACAUUUAGAAAGCAUCGCUGUUAAAGUCGCAUCUUCCCAGAUAAAUUCCUCCUUAUUCUUGUCUGAUUUUGAAUUAAAUUUGAGAAAAUUUCUUCUUUUUAGAAAGUUGAGUCAGAAUCCUUCCUCCUCCUCUUCCUCCCAUCGGCCGCCUUCAUCUCGUGUUUUGUAUUUAGUUUGUCUGCGAGGCGCUGAAGGACCGCUUCGUGUUUGACGUCGCCACUAAUGUGGUCAUGUGAUUUCCUCCUUUAACUUCACUGUUGGUUACCAUGGUGACCGACAGCAUUACUAACCCACGGCGCGCCACCGCCGCGAGAAGACGACGAGAACUUUUCUGAUUGGAGGAGGAGUUCCUGACGUCUCGUGAGCCAAUCAGAGACAGGACUCUGUUUUUGUGUGUGUUUGAACCGUCCAAUCACCUUCCUCCUCCUCCUCCUCCUCUUCCUCCUCCGUUUUAUCCACUGAGCUGAUGGAGGAACGGAUCUGGAGGAAGGAAAGGUUUCCAGGAAAACAUGACUGGACUCACACAGGAAGUUGAGAUGUCAACUUCCUGUCUGCAGAGUUUCUCUAGUAUUCAUUCAUAAAGUAGUUUCUGUUCGGUAAGGGCAGAGAUUUGCUCUGUUGGGCGGGGACAUGACGUCUUUACUCUGCAGUUUUAACUCUGAUUUCCUACAUUUCCUACAAUGCCUUCAUGAAUGUGUGGAGUUGCUGUUCAACAUGUCAGCUUCCUCCUGCUAGCUCUGCUAGCUAUCAAAAAUCAGAAAAUGCCGAGUCAUUGGUUGCUAUGGCGAUCCCCUCCUUAAGAGACGUGCAGGUGGAGAAAUUCAGCAAUAUUAUAAAUCACAACAUGAACAUGAUUAUGUUUUGGUUGAAACUUGUAAAGACUUUAUGGUGAAUAAAUGUGAUGUUUUCUGAUCUGCUCAGAAACUAUGGAAACCCAUUCAUACCAUGAAACAGGAAGUCAUAUUAUUAACCUUUAUAGUAUCAUUCUUGUUGUUACUACCAGAGCUUCUGUUAGUAAUACUUGUACCUAUGAGAAUAUUGAAGAUUAUUACUUUAUUUAAUGUACUGCAUUAAUAAAGAACCUGAGAGAAGAAUGAAGGUAGAAAGAGGAAACAUCGAUCAAUGUUUUUCAAUAAGUUUAUUCUUUUAUCUAUUCCUUUGAACGUUUAUAACUUACUGUUUUGUUUUUGUACUUUACAUAUAUUGAUGUUAAUAUUCCAUUAACAUCAAUAUAUGAAUAUUUUAAAAUCAGAGGAAGCACGGCCGUUUUCCUCUUUAUUCUGACUUUAAAACUUGUAUUUAUGACUUCCUGUUUUCUUUCUUUAAUGGCAGGAAUGGGCUUCCAUAUGAAUCUCCUCUUUCUGCAUUAAAAUGUUUUUAUGAUUUGAGUAAAACGGAGGAUCUGCUGGAAGCAGGCUGGUUGAUUCUGUGUGAUUCGGACUCUGGACCUGUGAAGGUUCACGUUGGGUUCAGUCCGUCUGACCCAGAGGUUGCUGGUUCUGGGUUCAGUCCGUCUGACCCAGAGGUUGCUGGUUCUGGGUUCAGUCCGUCUGACCCAGAGGGUGCUGGUUCUGAUCCAGAAGCUGUUGGAGAAGUUCCCUCCUCUCCGGUGUGAAUCCAGUCCGUCUCGCUCCGAUCCGCCAACCUUGGUUGUGUUUGAAUGUAAAAGUUUAGAUGUGUUUUUAUUUGUAAAGAUCGGGCCGGUUCUGACCGGACUGGACACGCAGAAGGACAAACUGCAGAGCACUUUGACUGAUGGAUGAUUGUUGCAGCCCCACUGACCGGUGGAAACACGGGUCACUGAGUUUAGUCUGUGAAUAAAGUGUUGAACGCCAAA